AGCGAACGCUGGCGGCAGGCUUAACACAUGCAAGUCGAACGCCCCGCAAGGGGAGUGGCAGACGGGUGAGUAACACGUGGGAACGUACCCUUUGGUUCGGAAUAACUUGGGGAAACUCAAGCUAAUACCGGAUAAGCCCUUAUGGGGAAAGGUUUACUGCCGAAGGAUCGGCCCGCGUCUGAUUAGCUAGUUGGUGAGGUAAUGGCUCACCAAGGCGACGAUCAGUAGCUGGUCUGAGAGGAUGAUCAGCCACACUGGGACUGAGACACGGCCCAGACUCCUAGGGGAGGCAGCAGUGGGGAAGAUUGGACAAGGGGGGCAACCCUGAUCCGGCCAUGCCGCGUGAGUGAUGAGGGCCUUAGGGUUGUAAAGCUCUUUUACCCGGGACGAUAAGGACUGUACCGGGAGAAUAAGCCCCGGCUAACUUCGUACCAGCAGCCGCGGUAA
rnacentral:rRNA from 1 species